GUCCACGCCGUAAACUAUGAACACUAGGUGUGGGGUAUCGACCCCUCCGUGCCGCAGCUAACGCAAUAAGUGUUCCGCCUGGGGAGUACGGCCGCAAGGCUAAAACUCAAAGGAAUUGACGGGGCCCGCACAAGCAGCGGAGCGUGCGGUUUAAUUCGUCGCAACGCGAAGAACCUUACCAAGGCUUGACAUGCUAGUGGUACUGAUCCGAAAGGUGAGGGACCCUUCGGGGAGCUAGCACAGGUGCUGCAUGGCUGUUGU
rnacentral:rRNA from 1 species